AUACGUAGGUGGCAAGCGUUGUCCGGAUUUAUUGGGCGUAAAGCGAGCGCAGGCGGUUUCUUAAGUCUGAUGUGAAAGCCCCCGGCUCAACCGGGGAGGGUCAUUGGAAACUGGGAGACUUGAGUGCAGAAGAGGAGAGUGGAAUUCCAUGUGUAGCGGUGAAAUGCGUAGAUAUAUGGAGGAACACCAGUGGCGAAGGCGACUCUCUGGUCUGUAACUGACGCUGAGGCUCGAAAGCGUGGGGAGCAAACAGGAUUAGAUAGCCUGGUAGUCCACGCCGUAAACGAUGAGUGCUAAGUGUUGGAGGGUUUCCGCCCUUCAGUGCUGCAGCUAACGCAUUAAGCACUCCGCCUGGGGAGUACGACCGCAAGGUUGAAACUUAAAGGAAUUGACGGGG
rnacentral:rRNA from 1 species